AUUUAGGCAAAGCAGUGGAAACGCUGUGACGCAAAGCUAUAGGACCUUUAAUAUGGUAGCCAGUUGC
rnacentral:ncRNA from 1 species